GACCUAACCCGUUCGACCAACGAACGGCACGGUCAGGAAAGUCGAUCAAGCAUAGAAAACCCGUCAUGGGAUUGCUUGAUCGCCGUAUAGGGAAACCUGUACGUCUGGCUUCGGCCGGA
rnacentral:sRNA from 1 species